rnacentral:rRNA from 1 species
CGAGGUAGAUAGGCUGGGGGUGGAAGUGCAGCAAUGCAUGGAGCUGACCAGUACUAAUCGGUCGAGGGCUUAUCCAAUA